rnacentral:rRNA from 1 species
AACGAACGCUGGCGGCGUGCCUAACACAUGCAAGUCGAACGAGAAAGGGGCUUCGGCCCCGAGUAAAGUGGCGCACGGGUGAGUAACACGUAGGUAACCUGCCUUUAAGAUUGGGAUAACCCGUCGAAAGAUGGGCUAAUACCGAAUGAGACCCCGGGUUUUUAGGGAUCUGAGGUCAAAGGUCGCCUCUAUAUAUAAGCGAUCGCUUGAAGAUGGGCCUGCGCACCAUUAGCCAGUUGGUAGGGUAACGGCCUACCAAGGCAAAGAUGGUUAGCUGGUCUGAGAGGAUGAUCAGCCACACUGGAACUGAGACACGGUCCAGACUCCUACGGGAGGCAGCAGUGGGGAAUAUUGCGCAAUGGGCGAAAGCCUGACGCAGCAACGCCGCGUGAGUGAUGAAGGCCUUCGGGUCGUAAAGCUCUGUCGGAGGGAACGAACGUUUUUGGGGUUAACAGCCCCGGGAAGUGACGGUACCCUCAAAGGAAGCACCGGCUAGCUCUGUGCCAGCAGCCGCCGUAACAC